rnacentral:lncRNA from 1 species
CUGGUGUCAGGAGCAGUUUGGAGUUUUGAAAUUCUUUUUAACUAAUACUAUAUAUUUUUAAAGCCCAAAACAUAUUUUCUCAAGGGUUUUCUCCUUCAUUUCUAAACCCAAGUGUAUUAUCAAGACAAAUGGAAUCCAUGUGCUAUUGAAUGUGUUUACACACCAUUCAUUACAGUGCAUUUCAUUGUACAAUACUGACAUUCUUUUGUAGGAGUUGUUUCAAGGCUGAAAUGAUUCUGAAGCUAAAAUUUUAGACAACUUUCUCGUCCCAGCCCCUCAGAGUCCCAUAAUUUGUAAACCAUACUCUUGACUGAAACAGCAGUUUCUUGAAGUUUUUGUCCAAAUCUAAUAUUCAUAUGAUGGAAAGAUUUCCAGAUUAGUGAAACAACUCCUUCCCCUGUCUCCUUUGUCCUUGAUUCUGAUUGCUUUGGGUAAAGAGAAUGAAACGGUUUCUUUGUGAAGCAGCAGUCGGUACAAUCUCGCCAUCCUCUCAGCAACUGAAUGGAAGAGGAUAGCAUUGGAGGACUCCACAGCAAGCAAAGAAAAGGCACAGUAUGAGUGCAAGGUGCUACCAGACUUUGCACAAAGCCCUUUUCAAAGUAUUAUCUACCAUUAUUGCAGUGUCCCCAGAAGGCAGAUGGGUCAUUGUUAAUCAUACAGCUGGAAAAAUCUGCUAAUGCGAGCUCAGACAAUUGUCUUCACCGCCCUGGGCUUCCAUUGCCUUCUCUGAAAAAUGACCGGCUGCCCUUACCCCAAAAGGUAUUUUGUGAGCAUUUCCUCAGUACCACCAGAUUCCUGAAUAGGUGUUUCAGUUACUAUUAUUGCAUAAGGAAGUACUCUGAACUUAAAAGUGUGAAACAACAAUCAUUUUAUUUUGCUCACAGGUCUGUGGGUCAGGAAUUCAGGCAGAGCUUGACUGGGCAGUUCUUACCGAGGGGCACACGAGAGGUUGCAGUCAGAUGCUGGCUGAGGCUGCAAAAAUCUGAAGGUUCAACGGAGCUAGACAUCCAAGAUGGUUCACUCCCAUGGCUGGCAGCUGAUGCGAGCCAUUGGUUGUGAGUUCAGCUGCGGCUGUUGACCAGAAAGCCUCCACACAGCCACUCCACCAUGGCAGUCUCAGGGUCACUGGGCUUCUUACAUAACAGAUCAAAGUUCCAAAUGCAAGUGUCCCAGCAGCCACGGUGGAAGUUGCAUGGCUUUUUAUGACCUAACUUUGGAAGUCAUAUAGGUCACUUUUACCAUAAUCUCUUGAUCAAAGCAGUCACAAGCCUGCCUAGAUUCAAGGGAAAGAAGCCAUAGAUCCCCACCUCUUAAUGGGAGGUGUGUCAAGAAUUUGCAGAUGAGACUUUAAAACCACCACAAUAACCAUGGGUACCCCCACAGAAGUCUGUUAUGUCACUUUAAGUUACCCACUGAGGCAGACACUACUGCUGCCCUCACCCAUGUCUGAGCUCGCCUACAACUGGAGAGGACAGUUCCUACAACUGCUGACAGCUCCCACCUCAGGGGCCCAGGCCUCAUCUGAUGUCUCACCUGAAAGAAGUGUGGUCACAGAAAUGACAGAAGUUUAUCAUUUGCCAAACCUUGGACUGGAGCGGGCGUUUAACAACAUAUUUAUGCCAACAGCUUCUUAACACCCUUGGUAUGUUCCCAACAAAGGUAACAAAACUGCAUGGGGGACAGCAACGAGGUUGUUUUCUUGAAAGAACUCCAGAGACAAAAUUAUACAAUUUCUAACACUGGGCUAUUCAGGGGCCUGGUAAACAGAGAAACCACAAAGGCAGGGAAGGGAGAAGAGGCGGGAGCAGGAUGUCUGCUCUAAUUGUGCAUUCACUUUGCUCUGUUUUAUAACAAUGUCAGCUCUAUGGAAUAAAACCAAAUGUAGUUUCUGUGUCUUUAAGGCCCAGGCAGCUUGGGCAAUGGACAGGUUGCCAUGGCAACUUGUAAUUCUACUGUCUACUAAAUUGAAAAGUAACAAUAGAAAAUCCCUAGCAAAUAAAGUCUGAUACCUCUCAAUGACAAUUAUUCUGUUUAUUACUGUCUGGCUUUGAGUGCUCGAAUAUACAAACACCGAGAAUCCUUUGCUAUGUUUGAACGAAGCGGGGCUAUUUUUCUCUUGUCUUUUCUUUUCAAAAGCUCUCAGACAGAAAACAAGAAAAUGAACAAACAAACAAGUUUCUGAGAGAGUUUAG